rnacentral:rRNA from 1 species
CCUACGGGAGGCAGCAGUGGGGAAUAUUGGGCAAUGGGCGCAAGCCUGACCCAGCAACGCCGCGUGAAGGAAGAAGGCUCUCGGGUUUUAAACUUCUUUUCUGAGGGACGAAGAAAGUGACGGUACCUCAGGAAUAAGCUACGGCUAAAGACGUGCCAGCAGCCGCGGUAAUACGUAGGUGGCAAGCGUUAUCCGGAUUUAAUGGGUGUAAAGGGCGUGUGGGUGGGAAAGUACGUCAGAUGUGAAAACUCAGGGCUCAAACCUGAGCCUGCAGUUGAAACUGUUUUUCUUGAGUGCUGGAGAGGCAAGCGGAAUUCCGGGUGUAGCGGUGAAAUGCGUAGAUAUACGGAGGAACACCAGUGGCGAAGGCAGAUUGCUGGACAGUAACUGACGCUGAGGCGCGAAAGCGUGGGGAGCAAACAGGAUUAGAUACCCCAGUAGUC